ensembl:snoRNA
GGCUUCCUGGUACUUACCACAGUCUGUAUUCUUACACUGACUGUAUAGAAAGAGGAGGCAGAGUAAACCAACCCCAUAUAUACCACAGCCCAGGCCCUGUGCCUGGUCUGUAUUGUGAAUCAGGAGACAAGG